rnacentral:rRNA from 1 species
CCUACGGGUGGCAGCAGUGGGGAAUAUUGGGCAAUGGGCGAAAGCCUGACCCAGCAAUGCCGCGUGAAUGAAGAAGGUCUUAGGAUUGGAAAAUUCUGUCCUAUGGGAAGUAAAAAAUGACGGUACCAUAGGAGGAAGCCCCGUCUAACUACGUGCCAGCAGCCGCGGUAAGACGUAGGGGGCGAGCGUUGUCCGGAAUUACUGGGCGUAAAGAGAGCGUAGGCGGGACUACAAGUCUCAUGUGAAAUACCCGGGCUUAACUUGGUGGUUGCAUGGGAAACUGGAGAGCUUGAGUACAGGAGAGGCAAGCGGAAGUCGUAGUGUAGCGGUGAAAUGCAUAGAUAGUAGGAGGAACACCAGUGGCGAAGGCAGCUUGCUAGACUGAAACUGACGCUGAGGCGCGAAAGCGUGGGGAGCAAACAGGAGUAGAUACCCAUGUAGUC